rnacentral:rRNA from 1 species
AUUGAACGCUGGCGGCAGGCCUAACACAUGCAAGUCGAGCGAGCGGCGGACGGGUGAGUAAUGUCUGGGAAACUGCCUGAUGGGGGGGGGUCACUACUGGAAACGGUAGCUAAUACCGCAUACCAUCAGAUGUGCCCAGAGGGGAUUAGCUGGUAGGUGGGGUAACGGCUUACCUAGGCGACGAUCCCUAGCUGGCCUGAGAGGAUGACCAGCCACAUUGGAACUGAGACACGGCCCAGACUCCUACGGGAGGCAGCAGUGGGGAAUAUUGCGCAAUGGGCGCAAGCCUGAUGGAGCCAUGCCGCGUGAGUGAAGAAGGCCUUCGGGUUGUAAAGCACUUUUAGUGGGGAGGCGUUACCCUCAGAAGAAGCACCGGCUAACUCCGUGCCAGCAGCCGCGGUAAUAC